GUGGGGAAUAUUGGGCAAUGGGCGCAAGCCUGACCCAGCAACGCCGCGUGAAGGAAGAAGGCUUUCGGGUUGUAAACUUCUUUUACCAGGGACGAAACAAAUGACGGUACCUGGUGAAUAAGCCACGGCUAACUACGUGCCAGCAGCCGCGGUAAUACGUAGGUGGCGAGCGUUAUCCGGAUUUAUUGGGUGUAAAGGGCGUGUAGGCGGGACAGCAAGUCAGAUGUGAAAACCAGAGGCUCAACCUCUGGCCUGCAUUUGAAACUGUUGUUCUUGAGUGUCGGAGAGGUAAUCGGAAUUCCGUGUGUAGCGGUGAAAUGCGUAGAUAUACGGAGGAACACCAGUGGCGAAGGCGGAUUACUGGACGAUAACUGACACUGAAGCACGAAAGCGUGGGGAUCAAACAGGAUUAGAUACCCGUGUAGUCC
rnacentral:rRNA from 1 species